GUGGUUAAUGGUUCAGCUUCCUUGUAGCGGCUGGCUACGUCUACAACUGCCAGGGCGUACUUAUAGGUUUUACCUCUAACCCUGUCGUGUGGAAGAAACAACAGGUCGGCCUGGUGAACUUGAUUUGGUGUAUGUAUACCGAAUUUUCUCCUCGGUAUAUAUUUUGGUGCUGGUAAUGAGAUGAAAAUUGUUGGGGAAAC